rnacentral:rRNA from 1 species
AAUUGGGUAGUCCGUACGAGCGCACCUUAUCCUUAGUUGCCAGCACAUAAUGGUGGGGACUCUAGGGAGACUGCCGGUGUCAAACCGGAGGAAGGCGGGGGCGACGUCAAGUCAUCAUGGUCCUUACGCCCAGGGCUACAAACGUGCUACAAUGGUCGGUACAAUGAGCAGCAAAGCCGUGAGGUGGAGCAAAUCUCAAAAAGCCGGCCCCAGUUCGGAUUGAAGGCUGCAAUUCGCCUUCAUGAAGUCGGAAUCGCUAGUAAUCGCAGGUCAGCCGUACUGCGGUGAAUGUGUUCCUGAGCCUUGUACACACCGCCCGUCAAGCCACCCAAAUGGACCGCACCCGAAGUCGCUACCCUAACCGUAAGGAGGGGGGUGCCGAAGGUGAGGUUCGUGAGGGGGACUAAGUCGUAACAAGGUAGCCGUAGGGGAACCUGCGGCUGGAUCACCUCCUUUCU